AUUCGUCUUCAGGGGCAGGGUGUAAAUCCCGACCGGUGGUAAAGUCCACGACCUGUAUUUAAACGUACAGCUGAACUGGUGUAAAUCCAGUACCGACAGUAUAGUCUGGAAUGAAGAAGAUGGAG
rfam:Atopostipes suicloacalis DSM 15692 genome assembly, contig: EJ15DRAFT_scaffold00004.4